AAACCCGGUGAUCUAGCCAUGGGCAGGUUGAAGGUUGGGUAACACUAACUGGAGGACCGAACCGACUAAUGUUGAAAAAUUAGCGGAUGACUUGUGGCUGGGGGUGAAAGGCCAAUCAAACCGGGAGAUAGCUGGUUCUCCCCGAAAGCUAUUUAGGUAGCGCCUCGUGAACUCAUCUUCGGGGGUAGAGCACUGUUUCGGCUAGGGGGCCAUCCCGGCUUACCAAACCGAUGCAAACUCCGAAUACCGAAGAAUGUUAUCACGGGAGACACACGGCGGGUGCUAACGUCCGUCGUGAAGAGGGAAACAACCCAGACCGCCAGCUAAGGUCCCAAAGUCAUGGUUAAGUGGGAAACGAUGUGGGAAGGCAUAGACAGCCAGGAUGUUGGCUUAGAAGCAGCCAUCAUUUAAAGAAAGCGUAAUAGCUCACUGGUCGAGUCGGCCUGCGCGGAAGAUGUAACGGGGCUAAACCAUGCACCGAAGCUGCGGCAGCGACGCUUAGGCGUUGUUGGGUAGGGGAGCGUUCUGUAAGCCGUUGAAGGUGGCCUGUGAGGGUUGCUGGAGGUAUCAGAAGUGCGAAUGCUGACAUAAGUAACGAUAAAGCGGGUGAAAAGCCCGCUCGCCGGAAGACCAAGGGUUCCUGUCCAACGUUAAUCGGGGCAGGGUGAGUCGACCCCUAAGGCGAGGCUGAAAAGCGUAGUCGAUGGGAAACAGGUUAAUAUUCCUGUACUUGGUGUUACUGCGAAGGGGGGACGGAGAAGGCUAGGCUAGCCGGGCGACGGUUGUCCCGGUUUAAGCGUGUAGGGGGUGUGACCUGGUAAAUCCGGUUGCAUGCUAACCCUGAGGCGUGAUGACGAUGCACUACGGUGCAGAAGUAGUUGAUGCCCUGCUUCCAGGAAAAUCCUCUAAGCUCCAGGUAACAUUAAAUCGUACCCCAAACCGACACAGGUGGUCAGGUAGAGAAUACCAAGGCGCUUGAGAGAACUCGGGUGAAGGAACUAGGCAAAAUGGUGCCGUAACUUCGGGAGAAGGCACGCUGGCAUGUAGGUGAAGUCCCUUGCGGAUGGAGCUGAAGCCAGUCGAAGAUACCAGCUGGCUGCAACUGUUUAAUAAAAACACAGCACUGUGCAAACACGAAAGUGGACGUAUACGGUGUGACGCCUGCCCGGUGCUGGAAGGUUAAUUGAUGGGGUCAGCCGCAAGGCGAAGCUCUUGAUCGAAGCCCCAGUAAACGGCGGCCGUAACUAUAACGGUCCUAAGGUAGCGAAAUUCCUUGUCGGGUAAGUUCCGACCUGCACGAAUGGCGUAAUGAUGGCCAGGCUGUCUCCACCCGAGACUCAGUGAAAUUGAACUCGCUGUGAAGAUGCAGUGUACCCGCGGCAAGACGGAAAGACCCCGUGAACCUUUACUAUAGCUUGACACUGAACAUUGAGCCUUGAUGUGUAGGAUAGGUGGGAGGCUUUGAAGCGUGGACGCCAGUCUGCGUGGAGCCAUCCUUGAAAUACCACCCUUUAAUGUUUGAUGUUCUAACUCGGCCCCGUGAUCCGGGGUGAGGACAGUGUCUGGUGGGUAGUUUGACUGGGGCGGUCUCCUCCCAAAGAGUAACGGAGGAGCACGAAGGUUAGCUAAUCACGGUCGGACAUCGUGAGGUUAGUGCAAAGGCAUAAGCUAGCUUGACUGCGAGAGUGACGGCUCGAGCAGGUACGAAAGUAGGUCUUAGUGAUCCGGUGGUUCUGAAUGGAAGGGCCAUCGCUCAACGGAUAAAAGGUACUCCGGGGAUAACAGGCUGAUACCGCCCAAGAGUUCAUAUCGACGGCGGUGUUUGGCACCUCGAUGUCGGCUCAUCACAUCCUGGGGCUGAAGUAGGUCCCAAGGGUAUGGCUGUUCGCCAUUUAAAGUGGUACGCGAGCUGGGUUUAGAACGUCGUGAGACAGUUCGGUCCCUAUCUGCCGUGGGCGUUGGAAGAUUGAGAGGGGUUGCUCCUAGUACGAGAGGACCGGAGUGAACGCACCACUGGUGUUCGGGUUGUCAUGCCAAUGGCAUUGCCCGGUAGCUAAGUGCGGAAAAGAUAAGCGCUGAAAGCAUCUAAGCGCGAAACUUGCCUCAA
rnacentral:rRNA from 1 species